rnacentral:lncRNA from 1 species
CUUCCAUUGGGCGAGAUCUGCCACACGCCCUCCCGCCGACCAAUGGAAAGCGGCUGACGCACGGAGGCAGUGCCCAGAAUGGGCGCGAUGUGACGACGUCAUCAUGGAGCCAUAGGUUGCUGGGAGAGCAGCUGGUUGCCAGGACAACUGGCCCUUCCGCAGACGCGGGCUAGCCGGCUGGAGAGAAGAUCCACCCGGGGCGUGGAGUAGGUGGGCCCUCGCUGUUGGCGUCCAGCUCAUGCCGAAUUUUUAAAAUCCAGGGUACAGAAGGACUGAUGAUAAAAAACAGAAAGAGAGUAGGGACUGUUAGGUCAGCGCUUGUCACCAUUUAAAAUGUCAGCAGUGUUACACAAAAACAGUGGAGAUGUGUCUGCAAGAGCUGCGGCUCAGGUCCAGAGGAAUCCUUAUGGCUCAAGGGGCAAUCAGUUCCCAUGAGAUGACCUUCCUUACUCAGCAGGGACACUGCCUCGAUUUUCAUCAUGGGAAGAUCACAAGAAGGCGAGUAUGUGCCAACCAAG